UACGUAGGGUGCAAGCGUUGUCCGGAAUUAUUGGGCGUAAAGAGCUCGUAGGCGGUCUGCUGCGUCGGCUGUGAAAACCCGGGGCUCAACUCCGGGCCUGCAGCCGAUACGGGCAGACUAGAGUUCGGCAGGGGAGACUGGAAUUCCUGGUGUAGCGGUGAAAUGCGCAGAUAUCAGGAGGAACACCGGUGGCGAAGGCGGGUCUCUGGGCCGAUACUGACGCUGAGGAGCGAAAGCGUGGGGAGCGAACAGG
rnacentral:rRNA from 1 species